rnacentral:rRNA from 1 species
AGCAGCCGCGGUAAUUCCAGCUCCAAUAGCGUAUAUUAAAGUUGUUGCAGUUAAAAAGCUCGUAGUUGAAUUUUGGGGUCAGUAGGUUGGUCAUGCCUCCGGUAUGCACUGGUCUCACUGAUUCCUCCUUCCUGAUGAGCCGUAAUGCCAUUAAUUUGGUGUUGCGGGGAAUCUGGACUGUUACUUUGAAAAAAUUAGUGUUUAAAGCAAGCUAACGCUUGAAUACAUUAGCAUGGAAUAAUGGAAUAGGACGUUCGAUCCUAUUUUGUUGGUUUCUAGGAUUGACGUAAUGAUUAAUAGGGAUAGUUGGGGGCAUUAGUAUUCAAUUGUCAGAGGUGAAAUUCUUGGAUUUAUUAAAGACUAACUACUGUGAAAGCAUUUGCCAAGGAUGUUUUCAUUAAUCAAGAACGAAAGUUAGGGGAUCGAAGACGAUCAGAUACCGUCGUAGUCUUAACCAUAAACUAUGCCGACUAGGGAUCGGAUGAUGUUAAUUUUUAAUGACUCAUUCGGCGCCUUACGG